UCUUGGACCGUUACAGCUGCAAACAUGUAUGCAAUAUUAUUUUAUAUUAUUCUUAUUGGAAUUCAAUGUUACCGUGUGAUGUACCGUUGCUAAGAGCUCACCCCUUUCGUUUCUCGUCACGGGUAUAAAAAGGGAGUCAGGGUUCCCAAAUUUAUCAUUUCAGUUUCGUAUUCCGUCUGGUUCGGUAGUGCGUCACAGUGUGUAAAGAAAUGAAUUUGUCGAUUAACAAAAUUACUUGGUGUUACCAGUGUUUGGUCUUGUAAUUGAAUCUAAAGAUAUAGUGAUGGCUGGUGACGUUAUCAACGAGCGCUCUAACACCACUUUGUACAAGGUGGCAAAAUUCUUGAGGGACAUCAGAACGGGACUUAUGCGUCGGCCUAGGAUCCCGUUGUUUGUCCUGCACCAGGCCCCGAUGAUGGGAGCCUGGUGAUAUAUGAAGAUAAUGCUUUUUGUGCAAUAUUUUCCCGAAAUAUCUUUUGUCAAAGAUGUUACUCAUAAAAGUUCUUGCAAACAAUUCCUGCUUUCAAUUUGGAGCUUUUUCAACUCAUCCUACCUGAAGAUUUGGAAGGUUCCACCACAAAUUCGGAAGUAAGGUCUACUGCGCUUCAAUACGAAGAUGGCGGUAGAUUACCAGUGAAAAUGAUGCACAAGAACCUUAGACUAUAACGGGGCUCCCUUAUAUGGCAUACCGUUGACUGUCACAUUACUAAUCCGCAUAAUAGACCAGGUAUAACUUGAUUGUGCAUAACAUUUAGUUCUAAAACAUAAUCAUCAUUGACUUAUCAAGCACAACAUCUCUUACAAUUCACCUUUAACACCCAUAGACGCUCAGUUGGUUUCAUUUUAAAUUAGUACUGGUAUCUUUGAAAGCCCACCCAAUUUAAUUUGAUAUGAGACCUCAUAACUGCGAUUCUGUAUUCAAAUUGCUGAGUUGUUGUGCUUGAAACUAAAUUGCAACAUAAUAAUAUGCUUGCAGAGGUUUUAAACGAUACCUACGUUGGUUUUUACGAAAAACACUUUUUAUUUAUGCUAAAAAAUGAAUUAUGCACAUCCAAAUUAUUCAUAUUUUUUUAAGGAAUAUAUUAUGCGGAUUUGUAAUGAAAAUCAGUAAUUAUAUUCCUGGACAAUUGGUUUACAAAUAAGAUACCGCAUGUGGUCAUAAAAUUGGGUAUUCGAUUUAUGCCACAUAAUCCAGUCCCGUUUUCACACUCACAGAUGCUCUUUUAUAUUUAUUCGAAUCAAUAAUCAUAGUAUUUAAUUAUCUUUUUCAUAUUUUACAAGCUUUGCGUACAUUGACAGCUUUGCGAAUUUUUGAAGCUUUGCGUUCGUUCUCUCGAAAUGAAGUUUGAAUGAAAAUUAUACUUUGCUUUGAGUGAUGUUUUCCGUGUGAAUUUAAAUAUUAGGAUAUAGAUAAUAAUUACAUUAAUCAAUUACAAUAAUAUAUCUUUAACACCUGGUUACUGAAAACCUAUUCAAUUCACUUUUUGUUUAUCUUUGUCGUGCUUUGAACCCAUUGAAAUGAAAUGAAAUGAAAUGAUUAAUCCUUGCAAUAUUUUCAAAAUAUAGAUUUAUUAAAUCAAGCUUCCAGGUACCGUUAGUUAUACCACCACCUUAAAUGUUCACAACAUCAAAAAAAAUCAUAUCAAUCAAAAUCAAUCGUAUCAACAAAAAAACAUAAAAGAAAACAUAAUGAUAUAAUACACCUGAACUAUUAUACCAUAAAUAUGCUUAUUCUUGAAGCUUGAUUAGCGCGGUUCCAUUCAUUUUGUUCAUAUUAAGUGUCCUAAAAACAAUAUACAAAACAAGUUUUUUUUCUACUUUAUACGUGUGUGUGUGUGUGUGUGUGUCUGUGUGUUUGUUUGUUCCUUUUUUGUAUCAUCUUCGGAAAGAUGAUACUCUCAUACUUUUUUUUCAAUUUUAGUGUUGUGUCUGUUUUUCACAGUGUGUUUUUUCUUUUUUGCAAUUUUUUUUUAGUUUUUCGUUGUUAUUUUUGUCACCGUUUAUUACUUUCGUAUGAUACACUCACAAAAUAAUUUGUUACGAAAACAUAUCAGCAUACAGCACUGAUCGAAGUUCUACCAACAACUCACUGGAUUACAAAAGCAAAAAUAUCCUGAAAUUGUUUGCCGAUAAAAAAAGGUAUUGCAGUUGGUAUUGCUAAAAACCACCAUUAAAACUUGCUACGGCUUAUUAUAAAGUACAUUUUCAAAUUCAUUCAGACAACUGUCGAAAAUCACCAAAAAAUAAUUUUGCUAUUUUUCUGAUUUUUUUAGUUUUCUUUACUAGCUUAUUUUUUUUAGUUUUUGCUAUAUUUUGUGCCUUAUAUUUUAAGAAGCCCCAUGCAAUGUUAAGGGUUAAGUGUAGUGUCUAUGGUGUUUCUUAUAUUUUGUUUUUCUUGCUUUUAGAGUAGCGUUUUUUUCAUAAUGUAACUAUAUUAUGAAAAUGUUAUAUAUUUUAACGUACUCCCACAUGAAAGACCGAAGUGAUCAAAUAGAUAGAUUGUAUAGAUAGUUUACUGUAGUUUCAUAUAUUCAUAUAUCUUUCUCUUUUUCUAGUUUCAGCUAAGCUACGUAUAUUUGUGCACCAGAUGUCUAGUUGAAUAGUUGAAUGCAUUCACAAGUCGCCGCCUUACUAUUCAUACAGAGUAAAUAGAUAAUAAUAUUUUUUCUACAUAGUAGGAGUAGUCUUUUUAUACAUUUUUGUCGCUUAUUUUUUGUUUUCUUGCGUUUGUUCGUGUGAGGUUUUUUUGUAGAUUUUAGGCACCUACUUUAGUGGUUUAGGCCAGUAACGUUGUUUUAAUAAUCGGCCGGAUAGUUAUUUUCCUUUUUUUUCCGGAUGUAAUUUCAAUCGCAGCAAUGAUUUUACAUAAUCUCGAAUCCCUUCUGUGCGAAACAUGCAAUCAUGAAAAACUUAAUUUGGACCUUUCAAUCCAAAAAGCCAAGUUAUUUUUUUCCACAACUGGACGUCCCUAACUUACUGUGCUUUAAUUUGUGUUUAGUUUUCUUUAGCUUCUUAGUAAGUAAUCCAUUCGACAAAUACUUGUGUGAUAUCAAACAUUUUUAGCAGUUUUUUUUCUUUAUGAUUUUUUGUCGCCUUUUGCCAUGCCUCACUCUGCCUUUGCCACUCAGUUCAAUUACCCUUUGUAUAACCCUGGUAAUAGUUUGAAUAAGAAACUUAUUUUGGACCUCACGAUACAAAAAGCUAUGUUUAACUUCUCCCAAAAUACGACGGCCCUAACUUACCUAGCUUUAAUUUGUUUUUAGUUUUCAUUAGCUUCCAUUCGACAAAUACUUGUGUGAAUCAAACAUUUUUAAUAUUGUGGUGGUAAUUGAAAUAACCUUUUGCUAAUAGUUUGAAUAAAAAACUGAAUUUGGACCUCUCAGUACAAAAAGCUAAGUUCAACUUCUAAACCACGUCGUCCCUAACUUUCCUUGCUUUAAUUUGUUUGUAGUUUUCAUUAGCUUCUUAGUAAGUAAUCCAAUCGUCAAAUACUUGUGUGAUAUCUAACAUUUUAGCAGUUUUUGUGUCGCGUUUUUGCUAUGCCAGUAUCUUUGCCACUAGUUUUUUAAGUUAACCCUUGCUCAUAGUUUCAAUAUGGUCGUAUAACUAGAUUUUCACUAACGAGUCUGGUGCUUUUAGAUAUUUACUUUCUACUUCAAAUAAUGAACAUGUUACAAUAACCUAAUAUAAUAGAUAUCUUUAAUAAAAUAGGUGUAGGAUUGUCUCUUAGUGUGAUGUGUGAUAUAGCCAGUUUUCUGUUUUUUUUUUUCUCAAUUCAACGCCAUUUAUUUAUUUUAUUUUUGGCAUCUAUUUACAUGUCUUCGUAGAUGAGCUCAUUUUACCUCAUAUUCAAUAAGACCAUACAAUUUACCUCAUAAUAGUUUAUUUACUUUGAGUGCCUAUAAGUGUUUGUGUGUGUUUGAGCUAGGUUUUUUCAUAUUUCUUCCCCUGGUCAUGGGGAAACCGGGUAUUUUCUUAGGAAUAGUUUCAUAGAAUCGUCUUAGCGUAAUCAUACAUUUAAAUACUGAGUCUUUUAUUAUUUUUUCUUCUCAAUUUUUAUUCUAAUAGUGUUUUUGAAUAGCCACAAGUGUUUUUCUAGCUUUACAAGCUUUGCCUUCAAACAUUUUUCAAUGGUUUUCUAAGGACUAACAUGAUCCACGUCAAUCCAUUGCAUUUCGGUGCUUCAAUUUGUUUUCUUUUUUUGCCAUUUUUGCCAUUAGCUUUAUGCUAAUUUUAACUGUUUGCUAGUUUUUGCCAUUUUUCAACUUUUUUCUGUGUGUUACUGAUCCUAUAUCUUGUCCAUUUGAAUUUACAACCCCGUCUAUAUGAAAUACUUUCCUAUAACUGUCUAUAAUCCACCGAUACCCUAAUAAUUUUUUUAAUUUUAUUCCUACCACGAAAUCCCCCUAUCCUGUUUAAAAAAUAUAUACUCAACCUAGUGAUUAUUCUUCCUUCUCCAGUGCCGUAUACUUAUCUGCUAUCAAUACAAAGCUUUAUAAAGUCGACCAAAAAUGUUCCUACUAGUUUUGACAAAAGUUUCUUCUAGAUCUCAUAUCGCCAAGUUUCACAUUUCCGUGAAAUAGAUCACAUUUUGGCCGACUAUACUGUAAUUGUAAUUUAAUGAUUUUCCCUAAUGCUCUCCAAAACUACAUGCUUUAAUAUGUUUUUUACACACUGCUUUACCCAUUAGCAUUACCCAACCCUUGAUUUCCACUUUGCCCCCAUUUUUACAUUACUUUGAGAAUUCUUUGCUCCGCUUUAUCAUUAUUUGGCAAACAAUAUUUAUUUUAAUUUCUCCUCUAUUCUACGUUAACAUACCACCUCAAAAGACUUACAAUAUUUAUUUUACAAUAGUAUAUAAUAAUUAUAAAUACAGCCUAUUUUAAUAUCCCGCUGCUGAGCCUAAGAAGGCUCUUACAUUAUCUGAACAUUCAACGAAUACUUAUUCUGUUAUUAAAUUAUCUUACCUGUAGAUACAUUCAUAUGCAUAGUAUUUGAUAUCUGUCGAUACACACUCCGCCUGCAUUUUUUAUUUAUUUAAAUAGACUUACAUAAUAUAUAAUAAUACCUACCUGAUAAUGCAACUGCUUUUGCUGAAUUUUCGUACAGCUUGUAAAAUUGAUUCUUUUUUCAUUAUUAUUAGAAAGAGCCUGUUUUAACAUUUUCUGUUUGGGACUGAAAAAAUGCUUUACUUGUUUUUAGCGGCUAAAUAAGUAAUUUUAGUAAAUAGUUAUUUUGGCUACUAUUUUUGUGCCUUAACAUUUAAUUAUAAAUUAAUUACAAGAAAAAUGUGAUAAAAAUGUUUAACCUUUGUUAUAGAGCCGAUUGUACCACUUCAAACCUUAAACAUUUCUCUAAAUAUAAUAAUCUAAUCAUUCGACAUUCAAUAAGUGCUACCCGGUGCGAAUUUAUUCUGAUGGAAAUCUAUAAGUUUUGGACAAUACCGAGGUAGUAACAAAAGCUCAAGAUUCUUUACUGUAUGAAAUCGUUAAAAAUAGACCAGCAACCUUCGGACAUAACUAAAUCAUAAUUCACAAUAUUAUCACAAUGACAAAAAUAUUUCUGGAUUACAGCGAUAGUCAUUUUAUAAAGUUUCUGGAAAAUGCUCUGGUUUGUCAACUAUCGCAAAUUUUAUUACUUGGGUUUAUAAAACCACACAUGCAAGUUCACAAUAAUCUUAGAAAAAAAAGUAUAGUUGUAAACAGUGGUCCUAAUAUUCAACUAUGUAUUUAAACUCAAAUUGCUUUGAUAUAAUAGAAAUUACUUAUAUAAAACACAUUUGAUCUGUAGACACUUUUGGAAGAAAUCAUCUGGCAUUUAUUACAAUAAUUACAUGUUUCUGAACUCAAAUGUUUAAUCUAUUUUUGUGCUUGCGAUAAAAUGUAAUUUUUGGUGCAUAUGUUGAAACAAUUGUUCAAUUAAUUAUGUGAAAAUGACAUUUGAGUGAGAUUAUUAAAUACAUUUGGAUUUUUGAUA